AUGUCUUUCUCGGCCUUUUGGCUAAGAUAAUGUGUAAUAUUUAUUCUUAUCAGUUUAAUAUAUGAUAUGUGGACCAUAUAUCUCUACUACUCUAUAAGGACGCAGUGUGGGCGUCCAUAGGUUACGUCGUGCCCCCGCCCUGAUGCGCCCCUCCCCUACCUCGUCUAUCUCCA
rnacentral:snRNA from 1 species